AUUGAACGCUGGCGGCAGGCCUAACACAUGCAAGUCGAGCGGAUGAAGGGAGCUUGCUCCUGGAUUCAGCGGCGGACGGGUGAGUAAUGCCUAGGAAUCUGCCUGGUAGUGGGGGAUAACGUCCGGAAACGGGCGCUAAUACCGCAUACGUCCUGCGGGAGAAAGAGGGGGAUCUUCGGACCUUACGCUAUCAGAUGAGCCUAGGUCGGAUUAGCUAGUUGGUGGGGUAAAGGCCUACCAAGGCGACGAUCCGUAACUGGUCUGAGCGGAGGAUCAGUCACACUGGAACUGAGACGCGGUCCAGACUCCUGCGGGAGGCAGCAGUGGGGAAUAUUGGACAGUGGUCGAAAGCCUGAUCCAGCCAUGCCGCGUGUGUGAAGAAGGUCUUCGGAUUGUAAAGCACUUUAAGUUGGGAGGAAGGGCAGUAAGUUAAUACCUUGCGUUUUUGACGUUACCAACAGAAUAAGCACCGGCUAACUUCGUG
rnacentral:rRNA from 1 species